rnacentral:rRNA from 1 species
CCUACGGGUGGCUGCAGUGGGGAAUAUUGCACAAUGGGCGCAAGCCUGAUGCAGCCAUGCCGCGUGUGUGAAGAAGGCCUUCGGGUUGUAAAGCACUUUCAGCGGGGAGGAAGGCGGUGAGGUUAAUAACCUCAUCGAUUGACGUUACCCGCAGAAGAAGCACCGGCUAACUCCGUGCCAGCAGCCGCGGUAAUACGGAGGGUGCAAGCGUUAAUCGGAAUUACUGGGCGUAAAGCGCACGCAGGCGGUCUGUCAAGUCGGAUGUGAAAUCCCCGGGCUCAACCUGGGAACUGCAUUCGAAACUGGCAGGCUAGAGUCUUGUAGAGGGGGGUAGAGUUCCAGGUGUAGCGGUGAAAUGCGUAGAGAUCUGGAGGAAUACCGGUGGCGAAGGCGGCCCCCUGGACAAAGACUGACGCUCAGGUGCGAAAGCGUGGGGAGCAAACAGGAUUAGAUACCCUUGUAGUC